GAUGAACGCUGGCGGCGUGCCUAAUACAUGCAAGUCGAGCGAACGGACGAGAAGCUUGCUUCUCUGAUGUUAGCGGCGGACGGGUGAGUAACACGUGGAUAACCUACCUAUAAGACUGGGAUAACUUCGGGAAACCGGAGCUAAUACCGGAUAAUAUUUUGAACCGCAUGGUUCAAAAGUGAAAGACGGUCUUGCUGUCACUUAUAGAUGGAUCCGCGCUGCAUUAGCUAGUUGGUAAGGUAACGGCUUACCAAGGCAACGAUGCAUAGCCGACCUGAGAGGGUGAUCGGCCACACUGGAACUGAGACACGGUCCAGACUCCUACGGGAGGCAGCAGUAGGGAAUCUUCCGCAAUGGGCGAAAGCCUGACGGAGCCACGCCGCGUGAGUGAUGAAGGUCUUCGGAUCGUAAAACUCUGUUAUUAGGGAAGAACAUAUGUGUAAGUAACUGUGCACAUCUUGACGGUACCUAAUCAGAAAGCCACGGCUAACUACGUG
rnacentral:rRNA from 1 species